AACACGCAACCUACAGUGAGUCACGUCACACUUUGGCCAGCCCACAGCCACACACUUUAUAGCCUAUAAAACCAGAACUGAACUAAUCAGUCCUAAUAAAGCGCUCUCCUUUUUGUUCUGUGGAGUUUGCGAAAAUUACAUGAAAAAUUUUCGACCUAUGUGGUUCUGCUUAUUACUUUGAAUAAAAAUAUUUCUUUACCAUUUUGGAAGUGAAAAGUUUCCAUCAUGAAUUAAGUAAGGCAAGUACUACAUUAUUAUAUUAAAUAGUCUUGGCACACAAUAAAUAGUAAUAACUGUGACACCACAUAAGUUUGUAAAUCUCUUUAGUCAAGUUUUUACAAACUAGACAGUGCAGGUCGAUAUAUUAUGAUUGCCACUGUUGGUACAUUAUGUUAGCAACGCUGUUAAUCGUGUUUAACAGUCUAGUGUUGAGAAACUUUGUUUCUGCAACAUGUUGCUAGGAUUAUUCCAACUAGAAGUUGCGUAUGCGUAAUAUUUACUUUUGUGCUUUAUUUUUCUUCGAGGUUUUAUGUAUUGCCCACUACGUCUGCAUCUGCGGUUUAAACAAGCUCGGAUGAAGAGAAACUGGAUGAGUUUUAUUUAAAAACAAGAGAGAACACUAUAGUCGAAUAGAAGAAUAUAUAAACUUUAUAUGGUCGGAAACGCUUCCAUCUGCCUGUUACAUACUUCUCAACGAAUCUAGUAUACCCUAUUUGCUCUACGAGUAACGAGUAUAAGAAUACAGAUGAACUUAAUAAAUAUCAAAUAUGUUGCUACAAACUUUUUAUACAAUGCGCAUUUUGAAGUUAUUGGUUUUAUUUUCGGAAGUUUGACUGUAGUAAACGCUUUGUACAAGUCGGAGGAAGAAGAGGACAAGGGGCCAUACUUAAACGGAUUAGUGGGCGUGUUAAACGCGGCGACAACGGCAGCAGGCGAACAAAAUACCAAGACGAAAACAGCAUGAGUUAAACUACUCCCCAUGUAGUUCGUAUUCUAAUUAGUUACGCAGCAAACCGGCUAAAGUAUGUUUUUCAAAUCGCGUAAGCAAGCCCCUCAAAUCGUUGGUGUAGAGGGUACAUAAAAAAUACUGAAACCGGAAUCGCUUUUCCCAACGUUGCUCUACUCUGGAAUGUAUGUGAUAUUUUAAAGAGACCAAUCAACUGUGAACCGGUUAAAAACAGAUAACUUUUUAAAUUGCUCUUGCUUCAGAGUCCACAGAUGCUUUUGAUCACAUGAUCGUACCAAAGAUUAAGUUUGCAUCACCCACAGCUGUUUGAAAUAUGGCUUAUAAUUCCGAUCCUGGGUCAGCCUACUUGCAAUUGGUCCUCUCCGGUUAAUAUUUGCGUCUGGUUAAAAACACCGCAGAUAACAGCAAUCGGUAGGUAAUUCAAAUCUUAGAUUCCCUUAAAUUUCUUGAUUGGCUUAACCUUUAUCCAAUUAAUUUUAAUAAACAAAUUUUUGAGAUGUCCAUUUGUGUCCAACCAAAACAUAGUUACCAAGUUGUCUAACGCCUUUUCUGCUCCUCAAUUUGUAUACUACAACAAAAUUACUACACGCAAUUACUUUUUGGCGACCUAAAUGAUGAAACAAUCACGUGUCUGCGAGUAUCUUUAUAUCGCAGCCGUCGAUGUGUGCGAUUUGAUUUGUUUGUUAAAGUGGGCUCGAUGUGUGGCCACUUGUCGCAUGUUUGUUGUUACGGGAGUACGUAAAACGCCCUCUCGACAAUGGCCUGGUAGUCGGUAUUGUGUUACCAAAACAACCAUGCUCAUAAUGAGGCAAUAGUUGUAGCUAGAUGCUCGUAAUCCAAUAUCCCGAAUAGGGGGACAGAAAUAGGAACUUAAAAGUCUGUGAAAGCAUUCACUCAGCGCUGAAGUUCCACUACAUAAUAUGUAUAAUAUAUGGUUAUUAACAAAGAAGUAUUACGAUUUGGGAAAAGUAAAGUUACUAACUAAACUUAUCAUUUUGAUCUCUCGUAAUCCAUUACAGAGCAUCUCCUGUUUUUGAUUCGUUUCUUAGCUGCUAGUUAGCCAGAUCUCAACUAAAUUAAAUACAAAACAGACUGUAUAGUUCCAGUCAACCAUUUGAAACCCAAGUGGGAAAGCAAAGUCUACAUGGUUAUAUAUAUGGCUCUUCACAACUGGCUGAUUUCUUUCCCCCAAACAGAGCCCGUUGUCGCAUUGAAUUUCGAUUCGAGCAAACACAAAAAGUGUUUAUAUACUUAGUACAUUUUUUUUUUUCAAUGAAAAGACCUAUUAAAAAGUGGGGCCGACCUGGGCAAUGCAUUUUGAAUUAAACCUAACUACAGACAAAGGUGGGUAAUUAAAGAAAGGUGACCCCGACCCCUAAAACAAUGCCGAAAGGUGAAAGUAAUGUCAAAUGUGCCGCGAUAUUGUGGCCGAAAUAAAAUCUAGCUUGUAAUGCAAAUUAAAAUGAAACCGAAAAUAUUUCGGUGUUUUUUAGACCGAAAGAAAAUUAGGAAUUCCUAGACAAUCGUAAAAUGUCAUGAAAUAGGUGCUUAGCAGCUGAGAAAAGGGGUAGCCCAGGCUAACAAUAGUUCCACUUGGUUGUCGUUUUUUCCCAUCAUCAUUUAAAUUUCUUCGAAAUAUAAAAUUCAUUUAAACGGUUCCGCGCACAAUCAAAACCCUCGGAUCAAUCGAGGGUGGGAGAUAAGAGUUACAAGUGCGUCUGAUAACCGUGUUGUAUGUGUCGAAGAAGUCGAGGAACUCCAUAUGUUUCUUAAGGCUCCUUCGGCAAGAAAACCGUAUUCUGAGCUUGGAUGGUUCAGACUUUGCAAUCACUGAAUUCCGAGUGGAAAAGUUUUUCGCUUAACUGAGCUCAGAUUCGAAUCACUGUCUUUUACAGAAAUCCUCGUACAGAAUGAGUUUAUAUGAACAACUGCUUGGCGGACAUCAAUUUGCCGGGCAAUUUGACCAAUUUUACUAACAAUUCACAUUUAUUUCUCAGAUAAUUUACGAGCACACACAAGGAUUGCCCAGAUCAUCUGGUAUGCAAUAUAGUGGCUACUGUGGCAUCGAUUCACAUUCCACCUUCGUGGCAGCGGCAUUUACAUGAUCAUUAUUGUCGGGGCUGGAUUUUUUCGGUAGAAUCGGACCCUUUGGGCGGCAAUUGGGAACUUUUUCGAUCGAUAUGGCCAUCGUUUAUGGCCGUGGCAUUGAAUACGUUUGGUUUUUGGUUUUGGACGCGCGCGGAUUACAAAUCUAACUGCACUUUGGUUUUUUAUGCGAUUUCGCUUUCGGUUUCACAUUUUUUCUGUCUUCUGCAAACACUUUCACCCCGGGCAGAAGUGUCUUACGUCCCGCAGAAGACUAAUAUUUUGCUGGCCUUUGUUGAUUCAUUAAUAUUUACCCUUUUCUUGAUGUAUUUUGCUAUUUUUGAGAUUUUUAUUGUUUUGGCGCUCAUUUUGGCAACGUUUUCAGAUUGCGGCCGCAGAAGAAUCGCA